rnacentral:lncRNA from 1 species
GCUCACACUGGAGCACCCACUCUCACCAAUGGUGGAAGAAACAUUUGAACAAGGGUAAUUAAGGAAAAUGAGCUCCUCUGAAAUGAAGCAGUUUCACUUCAGAUACUGCAAGUAGUCAAGACUCACCCCAUCUACAUCCCCAAGAACUGAAGGCUCCUGUUACAUCAUGGCACCUCUUCCUCUGAUUCCCAGCUUCCACGGAAUUCUCCAUUUCUUCACAUGCUGCUUC